UGUGAGCUCGAUGAGUAGGGCGGGACACGUGGUAUCCUGUCUGAAUAUGGGGGGACCAUCCUCCAAGGCUAAAUACUCCUGACUGACCGAUAGUGAACCAGUACCGUGAGGGAAAGGCGAAAAGAACCCCGGCGAGGGGAGUGAAAAAGAACCUGAAACCGUGUACGUACAAGCAGUGGGAGCACAGGUUUACCUGUGUGACUGCGUACCUUUUGUAUAAUGGGUCAGCGACUUAUAUUCUGUAGCAAGGUUAACCGUAUAGGGGAGCCGCAGGGAAACCGAGUCUUAACUGGGCGUUAAGUUGCAGGGUAUAGACCCGAAACCCGGUGAUCUAGCCAUGGGCAGGUUGAAGGUUGGGUAACACUAACUGGAGGACCGAACCGACUAAUGUUGAAAAAUUAGCGGAUGACCUGUGGCUGGGGGUGAAAGGCCAAUCAAACCGGGAGAUAGCUGGUUCUCCCCGAAAGCUAUUUAGGUAGCGCCUCGUGAAUUCAUCUCCGGGGGUAGAGCACUGUUUCGGCUAGGGGGCCAUCCCGGCUUACCAACCCGAUGCAAACUGCGAAUACCGGAGAAUGUUAUCACGGGAGACACACGGCGGGUGCUAACGUCCGUCGUGAAGAGGGAAACAACCCAGACCGCCAGCUAAGGUCCCAAAGUCAUGGUUAAGUGGGAAACGAUGUGGGAAGGCCCAGACAGCCAGGAUGUUGGCUUAGAAGCAGCCAUCAUUUAAAGAAAGCGUAAUAGCUCACUGGUCGAGUCGGCCUGCGCGGAAGAUGUAACGGGGCUAAACCAUGCACCGAAGCUGCGGCAGCGA
rnacentral:rRNA from 1 species